rnacentral:rRNA from 1 species
GGGUUGUGAGGUUAAGCGACUAAGCGUACACGGUGGAUGCCCUGGCAGUCAGAGGCGAUGAAGGACGUGCUAAUCUGCGAUAAGCGUCGGUAAGGUGAUAUGAACCGUUAUAACCGGCGAUUUCCGAAUGGGGAAACCCAGUGUGUUUCGACACACUAUCAUUAACUGAAUCCAUAGGUUAAUGAGGCGAACCGGGGGAACUGAAACAUCUAAGUACCCCGAGGAAAAGAAAUCAACCGAGAUUCCCCCAGUAGCGGCGAGCGAACGGGGAGCAGCCCAGAGCCUGAAUCAGUGUGUGUGUUAGUGGAAGCGUCUGGAAAGGCGCGCGAUACAGGGUGACAGCCCCGUACACAAAAAUGCACAUGCUGUGAGCUCGAUGAGUAGGGCGGGACACGUGGUAUCCUGUCUGAAUAUGGGGGGACCAUCCUCCAAGGCUAAAUACUCCUGACUGACCGAUAGUGAACCAGUACCGUGAGGGAAAGGCGAAAAGAACCCCGGCGAGGGGAGUGAAAAAGAACCUGAAACCGUGUACGUACAAGCAGUGGGAGCACGCUUAGGCGUGUGACUGCGUACCUUUUGUAUAAUGGGUCAGCGACUUAUAUUCUGUAGCAAGGUUAACCGAAUAGGGGAGCCGAAGGGAAACCGAGUCUUAACUGGGCGUUAAGUUGCAGGGUAUAGACCCGAAACCCGGUGAUCUAGCCAUGGGCAGGUUGAAGGUUGGGUAACACUAACUGGAGGACCGAACCGACUAAUGUUGAAAAAUUAGCGGAUGACUUGUGGCUGGGGGUGAAAGGCCAAUCAAACCGGGAGAUAGCUGGUUCUCCCCGAAAGCUAUUUAGGUAGCGCCUCGUGAAUUCAUCUCCGGGGGUAGAGCACUGUUUCGGCAAGGGGGUCAUCCCGACUUACCAACCCGAUGCAAACUGCGAAUACCGGAGAAUGUUAUCACGGGAGACACACGGCGGGUGCUAACGUCCGUCGUGAAGAGGGAAACAACCCAGACCGCCAGCUAAGGUCCCAAAGUCAUGGUUAAGUGGGAAACGAUGUGGGAAGGCCCAGACAGCCAGGAUGUUGGCUUAGAAGCAGCCAUCAUUUAAAGAAAGCGUAAUAGCUCACUGGUCGAGUCGGCCUGCGCGGAAGAUGUAACGGGGCUAAACCAUGCACCGAAGCUGCGGCAGCGACGCUGAUGCGUUGUUGGGUAGGGGAGCGUUCUGUAAGCCUGCGAAGGUGUGCUGUGAGGCAUGCUGGAGGUAUCAGAAGUGCGAAUGCUGACAUAAGUAACGAUAAAGCGGGUGAAAAGCCCGCUCGCCGGAAGACCAAGGGUUCCUGUCCAACGUUAAUCGGGGCAGGGUGAGUCGACCCCUAAGGCGAGGCCGAAAGGCGUAGUCGAUGGGAAACAGGUUAAUAUUCCUGUACUUGGUGUUACUGCGAAGGGGGGACGGAGAAGGCUAUGUUGGCCGGGCGACGGUUGUCCCGGUUUAAGCGUGUAGGCUGGUUUUCCAGGCAAAUCCGGAAAAUCAAGGCUGAGGCGUGAUGACGAGGCACUACGGUGCUGAAGCAACAAAUGCCCUGCUUCCAGGAAAAGCCUCUAAGCAUCAGGUAACAUCAAAUCGUACCCCAAACCGACACAGGUGGUCAGGUAGAGAAUACCAAGGCGCUUGAGAGAACUCGGGUGAAGGAACUAGGCAAAAUGGUGCCGUAACUUCGGGAGAAGGCACGCUGAUAUGUAGGUGAGGUCCCUCGCGGAUGGAGCUGAAAUCAGUCGAAGAUACCAGCUGGCUGCAACUGUUUAUUAAAAACACAGCACUGUGCAAACACGAAAGUGGACGUAUACGGUGUGACGCCUGCCCGGUGCCGGAAGGUUAAUUGAUGGGGUCAGCGCAAGCGAAGCUCUUGAUCGAAGCCCCGGUAAACGGCGGCCGUAACUAUAACGGUCCUAAGGUAGCGAAAUUCCUUGUCGGGUAAGUUCCGACCUGCACGAAUGGCGUAAUGAUGGCCAGGCUGUCUCCACCCGAGACUCAGUGAAAUUGAACUCGCUGUGAAGAUGCAGUGUACCCGCGGCAAGACGGAAAGACCCCGUGAACCUUUACUAUAGCUUGACACUGAACAUUGAGCCUUGAUGUGUAGGAUAGGUGGGAGGCUUAGAAGUGUGGACGCCAGUCUGCAUGGAGCCGACCUUGAAAUACCACCCUUUAAUGUUUGAUGUUCUAACGUUGACCCGUAAUCCGGGUUGCGGACAGUGUCUGGUGGGUAGUUUGACUGGGGCGGUCUCCUCCUAAAGAGUAACGGAGGAGCACGAAGGUUGGCUAAUCCUGGUCGGACAUCAGGAGGUUAGUGCAAUGGCAUAAGCCAGCUUGACUGCGAGCGUGACGGCGCGAGCAGGUGCGAAAGCAGGUCAUAGUGAUCCGGUGGUUCUGAAUGGAAGGGCCAUCGCUCAACGGAUAAAAGGUACUCCGGGGAUAACAGGCUGAUACCGCCCAAGAGUUCAUAUCGACGGCGGUGUUUGGCACCUCGAUGUCGGCUCAUCACAUCCUGGGGCUGAAGUAGGUCCCAAGGGUAUGGCUGUUCGCCAUUUAAAGUGGUACGCGAGCUGGGUUUAGAACGUCGUGAGACAGUUCGGUCCCUAUCUGCCGUGGGCGCUGGAGAACUGAGGGGGGCUGCUCCUAGUACGAGAGGACCGGAGUGGACGCAUCACUGGUGUUCGGGUUGUCAUGCCAAUGGCACUGCCCGGUAGCUAAAUGCGGAAGAGAUAAGUGCUGAAAGCAUCUAAGCACGAAACUUGCCCCGAGAUGAGUUCUCCCUGAC